AUAACUACCACAUGGUUUAUCCAAAUUGCAAGUUCUUUAUAUGCACAAACUCCAUUUAAUGUGUACUUCAAAGUUGCAUAUUUGGAUUUUUUGGAAAAGGCUCAAUGCAAAAUGCCAUUUUUGAAGUGAACUAUUUGGAAGGAAGGGCAAAAUGGUCAUUUUUGGAAAUAUUGAGAAUUUGGGAACAAGGCUAAUACCAACAGCUUCCAAAUGCUAUUUUGAGCUGGUUUUCAAUAUCCAUUUUAUGCUGUCAUGCUUCAAGGCGUUGAAGAGCUCAAAUCCAAACUUCACCAUAAACCAUUUUUUCCAUUUAAUUCAUUUGCUUAAUUAUGUUUAGACUGGGAUUAAGAGAUGAUAUAUAAUUAAUUCCCAACAGAAAUAGACUCUAAC
rnacentral:lncRNA from 1 species